rnacentral:rRNA from 1 species
GAUGAACGCUGGCGGCGUGCUUAACACAUGCAAGUCGAACGGAAAGGCCCAAGCUUUCUUGGGUACUCGAGUGGCGAACGGGUGAGUAACACGUGGGUGAUCUGCCCUUCACUUCGGGAUAAGCCUAGGAAACUGGGGCUAAUACCGGAUAGGACCACUUCCUGGAUGGUGUGGUGUAAAGAUUUUUCGGGGUGGGGUGGGCUCGCGGGCUAUCCGCUUUUUGGGGGGGGUAUGGCCUUACCAGGCGUCUGAGGGGAGGCCGCCUGGGAGGGUGUACGGGCAACUUGGGGACGGGAAACGGGCCCGACUCCCAACGGGGGCAGGCGGGGGGGAUAAUGGCCAAUGGGGGCGAGCCCGAUGGCGGGAAGGCCGGUGGGGGAUGACCGCCUUCCGGUUGUAAACCCCUUUCGCCCGGGAACAAGCGGUUUGUGACGGUAACUGGAAAAGAAGCACCGGCUAACUACGUG